GUGGGGAAUAUUGGACAAUGGGCGCAAGCCUGAUCCAGCCAUGCCGCGUGAGUGAUGAAGGCCUUCGGGUUGUAAACUGCUUUUGUACGGAACGAAAAGACUCUGGUUAAUACCUGGGGUCCAUGACGGUACCGUAAGAAUAAGCACCGGCUAACUACGUGCCAGCAGCCGCGGUAAUACGUAGGGUGCAAGCGUUAAUCGGAAUUACUGGGCGUAAAGCGUGCGCAGGCGGUUAUAUAAGACAGAUGUGAAAUCCCCGGGCUCAACCUGGGAACUGCAUUUGUGACUGUAUAGCUAGAGUACGGCAGAGGGGGAUGGAAUUCCGCGUGUAGCAGUGAAAUGCGUAGAUAUGCGGAGGAACACCGAUGGCGAAGGCAAUCCCCUGGGCCUGUACUGACGCUCAUGCACGAAAGCGUGGGGAGCAAACAGGAUUAGAUACCCUGGUAGUCC
rnacentral:rRNA from 1 species